UGGGGAAUUUUCCGCAAUGGGCGAAAGCCUGACGGAGCAAUGCCGCGUGGAGGUAGAAGGCCCACGGGUCGUGAACUUCUUUUCUCGGAGAAGAAACAAUGACGGUAUCUGAGGAAUAAGCAUCGGCUAACUCUGUGCCAGCAGCCGCGGUAAUACGGAGGGUGCAAGCGUUGUUCGGAAUUACUGGGCGUAAAGCGCGUGUAGGUGGUCGAGUAAGUCGAAUGUGAAAGCCCCGGGCUCAACCCGGGAAGUGCAUCCGAAACUGCUCGACUAGAGUCCCGGAGAGGAAGGCAGAAUUCCCAAUGUAGGGGUGAAAUCCGUAGAUAUUGGGAGGAAUACCGGUGGCGAAGGCGGCCUUCUGGACGGUGACUGACACUCAGACGCGAAAGCGUGGGGAGCAAACAGGAUUAGAUACCCAUGUAGUCCCUGAGCGGGCUGGCAAGGCGCAU
rnacentral:rRNA from 1 species